rnacentral:rRNA from 1 species
AUGAACGCUGGCAGAAUGCUUAACACAUGCAAGUCUUUGGCGAAGCUGUGCUUGCACAGCCUAGCCAAGGCGGACGGGUGAGUAACGCGUAAGGAACUUGCCCUGCAGUCAGGGAUAACAGACGGAAACGACUGAUAAGACCUGGUAAAGUCAGGCGGACUCAUGUCCAGCCUGAUGAAAAGAGAUGCUGCAGGAGAGCCUUGCGUCCUAUUAGCUUGUUGGUGGGGUAACGGCCCACCAAGGCGAUGAUAGGUAGCCGGCCUGAGAGGGUGGACGGCCACAAGGGGAAUGAGAUACGGCCCUUACUCCUACGGGAGGCAGCAGUGGGGAAUAUUGGACAAUGGGGGCAACCCUGAUCCAGCAAUUCUGUGUGCACGAUGAAGGUUUUCGGAUUGUAAAGUGCUUUCAGCAGGGAAGAAAAAAUGACGGUACCUGCAGAAGAAGCGACGGCUAAAUACGUG